CCCCAGCAGAAAAAAGUGAGUCAUGCCACCAGUAUCUUGUUUCCGAGGCACUUACUGCGCCGUCCCACGCAGAGCAGUCACUGUUUAUUUGGUUUGAUUACAGUCGGUAAUGGAACAGGAAGGUUGUGUGGUGUUUGAGCUGGUCAUUUUGUAUAGCGUUUUGUCACGAGCUCGUGCUAGUUCUGCGGGGAAGUGAAGACUCCUUGCGGCCAUCACCGGACCGCGGAGUUGGAGGAGCCACUAUCAAUUGCCAGCUGCAUUGUGCAGCAUCGGCAGUGAUGGCACCGGUGAAUGUUGAGAGGGUCUGUCGGUACGCUAGGCAGGAUAGAGUGAAGGAUCUAAAAGCCGAGAUACUUGAAGGUGGUGUUCUCAAAGAAGAAGUCAAACUUCAAAAGGAUGCCAGUGGUGGUCCAUUGUUGGCAAGGUCACUGAGGGAUGCCUGUAGCUACAAUUCUACUUCUGUUGUCAAGUUCUUGGCAUGCACUGUUGACAAGCACUUGCUGAACCAUGAAGGGCCUUACAGUUACCAACUUUCUACGGGAUUACCUGUAAGUGUACUAUAAGUGUAAGUGUAAUGGACCAUGGUUUAGAAGAACACUGAUAACCUUCAAAAAACCUAUGGCAGGGUCACUUGUACGGGCAACAAAUAAGUAUAUAAUACAUGCCCUGUGUCGGUUGUGUUAGUUUCAAGCCUAGCAGUCACGGUUAUAUCGGCGCAGGGUGUGUGGCUGGUGUAGUCAGGAGGCUGUCGAGGUGGGGACAGUUAUGUGACAUUGUCGAGGCUGAGGAAAUAUUUGUUCUCAUGCCAGCAUUUGGACAUGAGUUCCGAGCACUGGUUGAGACUAGAUGUUGAUUUAUCGUGUUGACUGAGUAUGUACUUUUCUCUAGUGUAGAGGGAAUAUCACUAGGUGAUGUUGAUGUACGCACGGCCACCAUACUUUACUCUCCAAUAGACUUCGUACUGGGUGUUUGAUUUCUUGAGGUUCCGGAUGUGCCUGGACAAUUUCGUGCUGUGGGAAUAUUUUCGUGUCUACUUGUUGUUAUGUGGUAAACAAUAACUUCGCAUGGCGUGACUUGAACGAUGGCGCCGAUGUAACGCUUAAUACCAGAGCAUUCUUCGAAAAACGACUUUUGUACCGGCCGCAGUUGGGCCCUAGCCAGGUGAGCCCAGGCCACACCUAAAGAUGUCUGGAUGCCGGAGAGUAUACAUACGCGGUUUACAGUGAACCUCAAGGGAGUGAUGUAAUCAGUGAUGUAAUCAGUGAUGUAAUCAGUGAUGUAAUCAGUGAUGUAAUCAGUUGCAAGGUUGCAAAAGUGCUCUCUGGCUUGUCCAUCAACUCAAUGUGCAUCGUGCGUGCUUGGCUCAAGUUUCGAGACAAAGCAGACUUCUUGAACGUCACUGCCAGUCCAGGAGCGAAUCAGAUAUCGAUCUCUGUAGCUACUCUCCACUGAAGAAGGAGAGAAGAUUGAGCGGAAAGUGAAGCAACUCUCUUUCUCUCACUUUGAAAUAAGGACAUAGUCACUGUUGCGUAAACUGCCUGUGGUUGGUUGAGUGGACACACCUUUUCUUUUUCUAGACUAGCCAAAGUAAGGUGGUUUCCGGACACCAAAAACGCAUACAGUGCACGUGCCUGAUUGACAAUGGGGUCUUUCCCACCAGGUUCCAUUUUUAGCUACAGUUAGGAUGGAUACAACUUUUCCGCAAUAUUUGUAGGUGUUCACUGUUAAAAUUGUACUUAAAGUAGGGUGUUGAAUGAAUCACUUGUAAUCUUCAUGACAGGGAAAAUAGUACCAGGUGUGUGCAUCAUAUCCAGUGGCCAGUAUAACAGACUACGGUACUGCACAGAACCAC